rnacentral:misc_RNA from 1 species
AAAAAAAAACUCCAGAGAAUCAGCCAUUUGUGGGUCAGGUUUAAAAGAACAAAUUCAGUAAUGCAGAAAACAUGUUAAUAUAGCAGCAAACCACACCCUAAUGCUCCUUGUCUUCUGACCUUCUGAAUCAACAAGGGUAGUCUCAGACCAAAACAGUACUAUUAUUUUGUUUGUUUAUUUCCAAGUGAUAAUACAGUGUCAUCGUCAGGCUGCAAAAUGCCCUCUUAUUCAUGUCUCCUCAUCAAAACCUAUCUGGCAAUCCCAAGCUGAAGUAUCCUUGAUCAUCCAAUGGAACAUUGUUGUCUUCCUGCCUGCCUGGAUUCAAGAAAUCGAAGUUGUAAUCGCCACCUGAAGGCACCUGCUGUAUAUGCUGAUGAUCCCCAAUGAACCUAGCAUCAGGGCUCUGCAACUGGAAUGACAAAUCAAGCGGCAGCUCAUGCAGUAGAUGAUCAUUGUCAGUGAACAACAGUUGAUCACUAUCAAAAUCCAGAUUGAGCGGGUUGUUGUCUAUGGCCCCCAGUAGUUCAUCAACACUAAACAUCUCAUCAAUUUUGAAAUUUUGCAAGUAAUCCAUCCCAUCACAUCCAUUACCCCAGCCAUAAUCCUUCACACUCAGAGACUCAUCUUUUGGGUCUUGUUGGAUAUCACAGACACCUUUCUGUUUUUGCUCACAAAUAUUAUUCUGUUGAAUUUCGUCUUUCUCUGGGAUUUUAAUCUCAGGCAUCCUACUCCUUUCACUCUCUGUAACAUCUUCCCGCUCCUCCUUAGCUUCUUGUUUCAGUUUACUCCAUGGUGAGACGGAUUCCAGCUCCUCCUUUGCUUCUUUUUUCAGUUUAAUACAUGAUGAGACAGAUUUAAUUACUUCAGGAGGCUGAAGUUUUAUUUUUGAUUCACCUUCACCAUCCCCAAUUUUUACAAUAUGCUCUUUGGUGUCUUCAUCUGCACAAACUUCCGAAUGAUUGGACGUAGUAGUGGAGUCUGAACCUGCAGGAGUUGCUACAGAAGAAUAGCCAGAUGAGGUUGCAGCCGAGCAGAAAUCCUUUGAUGAGCUUGUUGAAUUUGAUAAUUCAGGAAAAUUCAGCCGGGCAAGAGUACCAUACAUGGCCCGUGCAGCGUUAUCAUAUGCAUGAGCAGCUUCAGAGGCAGUUGGAUAAGUUCCAAGCCAAAGCCUAGGCCCUCUAUUUGGUACCCUAAUCUCCGCAACCCAUUUACCCCAUUUCCUUUGUCUAACACCUCUAUAAAUACACUGCGAGUUCUCAGGCCCUCCUUUGCCCUUCAUACAUCCCUUCCUUGAGCCUUUAGCUGGAAUUUUACGCACCGGUUUAUCAUCUCCAUUAGUACAAGAAUCAAGAUAUUUAUUGUACUCCUUCCAUUUUUGAAGAGUCUCAGCAACAGAGCUAUUGCCCUCCCGCCUCUUCCUCUUCCCUGUAGAAGCCAAGGGCUUAGAAAUUACAUUAGAACCUUGAUCAAAUGUAACCAUCUUCCCCAAUUUUAUACGGUAACUCGUCACAACCACCACCUUCUUUCAAUCAACAAACAGAACUAGACAAAUAUUUAUAAACUCCCCAAUGAAAGCCAAAUAUGAGACUUUCAGAAUCUG